AGAUGAAGGGUGUCGCUGGCAUUAGUCGCCCCCGCCGCCGACGCCCUUCCGGGGAGCAGCGCAAUGCUCGCUCCCCAUUUCUACCUUCCGGUGGAAUACGCCCCCCUCCGUCGGAAGGGUCUAGGGCGGUGAGGUCCCCCCAGCUUCACCGCCCGCCUUU
rnacentral:sRNA from 1 species